CCUCCACUCGUUACCUGUAUGAAUGGCACCUGUUUGAACUUGUUAUCAGUAUAAAAGACACCUGUCCACAACCUCAAACAUAGGCCCUUAGGGCUCUCACCUGCAACAGAAGAGCCCUAAGGACAUCGCUGUGUCCAGCUGCUGCCUACCCUCUGCACUCACCUGGAGAACUGCCACAAUCACUUCCAGGUACUUUCUGUCUCGGCACACAUUUAGCUCAUUGUUGUAGUCCCCCUUUGUGACUGUCUUUCCUGCUGUGUGCAGACUCUGCUGUCUAAAAACCAGGGGGUGGUGGACUCCCCAGGUCUUGAUGUGAAGGAACACCAGCUGCUGUCCUCAGCCUACCAGCUCCUCCUACAGGUCCUACACACCACCUUCAGCUGGUCAGUCACACUUUAACACAACACCACCUGCACACUCCUGCCUUUCAGGAAAAUAUCAUCACAGGGCCGCACCUUCCAGGAAAUGACAAUUACUCAGGGUUUGGCAACUGUGGUCCUGGAGAGGUUGGUGUUGGCUUCUUUUGUUUCAGCCCAGCUCUAACACACCUGAUUCAACAAAUGGGAAUCAGGUGUGUUAGUGAUCUGCAACAAAAGCCUGCAACUAUUGUGUGUUAGGUCUGGUUUUUCCCAACCAGAGCACCAUGGCCUGCUGAAGAAAGCUUUGGGACUGCUGGCUGACCGUCUGAAAGAGGGAGGUCCUGAACUGACCUUGGACCAGCGCAUCAAUUGAGAGGUGAAACAUUCCCUAUCAGAUCACAGCCAGUGUUGUGUGUGUGUGACAAGUAUGGUGAAGCGGUUCUCCCCUAUCUCUCUGGUCUUCAGACACAGCUUUAAGUACCUGCUGAACUUCCACAGUGCCCAGCCUCAGCAUAGCUCUGUGUCUCUCCCAGCUGCUCACCACGGUGGCUGAGAGAGGGCACCAGGCUACAAACAGGGAGCAGACUGCAACUAGCCCGGCAGUUCCUGUGCCAGGAGUGGGUGACUUCGAGCGGAGACAGAGAGAACCAAAGGGGACCCAAAGACAACGGGACUCUCCUCAGGGGAUGAUGGGAGAGCUUGAGAAGGCUGUGAGGAAGAUUCACCCUGUCAGGCACAGUGACAGCACUGAGGUGAAGUGAGAAGCUGCUGUCAUGGAACCUGGCUGUCAGACUUCCACAUCCUGGUCAACGUGGUCAAAGUACUGAGUCUGUUUGCACUAGGAGCUUGUCAUGAGUGGGUUAACCCUUAUUCAAACACAUGAUGGGUCUAGUAUGUGUAAUGGUUGUUCAGUUCCCAAUGGAAGAUGUAUUGCUGGAAAUAGCAUUUAAAUGACUGUGCCCACGCCAAAUGAGAAGCAUGUAAACAUGUAUUCCCCCGGGUGUUCUGCCUCUCCAACACACACUCUGGCUGGAGGGAGAUCAAGCCAUCUGUCAUGCUCUACUGGCUCCAGUGCAGUUGUGUUUGUUUGUGUGUGUGCAUGUGGAUGGGCUCUCUGCUGGCUGGGUUUGGGUGUUGAGAAGCUAGAGGUAGUCUGUGUAUUGUGUCACCUCCAUCUUCUCCUUGCCAGGUGUUUGACAACAGACCCGUGCUCAAUGUGUGCCUGAAGGGUGAGGAGAUCCUCUCAAUGCUCAAAGGGGUUAUGAAGAGGAGUAAGGCUCCCUGCUGCCUCAGGCGCAGUCAGAAGAUGAGGCCCAGGAGAGUGACACUGAGGAGAGGAAGAAUGGCAACAGGAAGGAAGAGGGGGAUAACGAUGAAAUUGCAGAUGACUUGGAUAAUUAGGACAGACAAUGUGUAUGAAUACUGUCGACUCUGUGAACUCUUGACCUUUUGUGUCAACAAACUAACCUUGCAUAUCCCUUUGCCCCCUCAGAUAGGAAUAGGUCAGGGAGAACCAAGAGAGGAUUCCUAGUGCAUUGCUGCCAUUGAGAAAAUGGACAAUUAGGAGAUUACUGUGGAAGGAGGGGUCACUAUGUUAGUGGAUGUUCAAAACACUGCAAACAGCAUUAGAGUGCUGCAUUUUUUUUUUUAAACACUAAUGUCUGAGGCUGAGAAAGGGUAUCUUAUGAAAUUAUGACGUUUCGGAAAGCUGUUGAAUGCAGAAAAGUUAGAUUUACUUUGAAGAUACAGUAUGUUGCAAUGAAAUACUUCAACUGUAAAUAUUAUUAUUCAUGUAUAAGACUCUCUUUAAAUAUUUUACAGAUUCUCUUUAACAUAUUUAAUCAAGUUUUGCAUGUUUUAAAGUAACUGCGUAGUUAAAAUCUCACUUUUAAAAGUUAACAUUCUGUUAACUCAUAUCCAAAUGUUGUUGACUCGUCAUAUACUCGUAUUUGUGGCCAAAGCAUCAAUUGGAGAAGAAACACUUUAAAAAACAACACCUCAAACAGACCGUUUAAAAAAAAUGCAUGUUAUUUCCUCAUAGAAUAUGUCAUCUCCCUUAGGAUGAGCUGGCCAAUCAGCACUCUACUAAUAUUUUUUUUAUGACUGGUACGGUAUACCAGCCUGGUAACAUAGUAAACGUAAAUCCGGAAUGCUCCAAUUAGUAUGAUAUGUUACGUUUGGUAUGGUUAA